rnacentral:rRNA from 1 species
CGAGGAAUAUUGGGCAAUGGGGGAAACCCUGACCCAGCAACGCCGCGUGAAGGAAGAAGGCCUUCGGGUUGUAAACUUCUGUGACAGGGGACGAAAGAAAUGACGGUACCCUGAGAGGAAGCCCCGGCAAACUACGUGCCAGCAGCCGCGGUAAUACGUAGGGGGCGAGCGUUGUCCGGAAUCACUGGGCGUAAAGGGCGCGUAGGCGGCGUUUUAAGUCGCAUGUGAAAUCCCCGGGCUUAACCCGGGAUGUGCAUGCGAAACUGAAAUGCUCGAGUGCGGUAGAGGAAAGUGGAAUUCCUAGUGUAGCGGUGGAAUGCGUAGAUAUUAGGAGGAACACCAGUGGCGAAGGCGACUUUCUGGGCCGCAACUGACGCUGAAGCGCGAAAGCGUGGGGAGCAAACA